GACGAACGUUGGCGGCGUGCUUAAUACAUGCAAGUCCACUGAAGCAGUGGUAGCAAUCUCGCUGUGGAGGUGGCGCACGGGUGAGUAACACGUAGGUAAUCUGCCUUCAGGUCUGGCAUAACUCCGGGAAACCGGGGCUAAUAGCAGAUGAUGCAGCGGCUCGACAUCGAGACAGUUGUUAAAGCUAUGGCGCCUGAAGAUGAGCCUGCGUCUGAUUAGCUAGUUGGCGGGGUAACGGCCCACCAAGGCAACGAUCAGUAGCUGGUCUGAGAGGAUGAUCAGCAACACUGGAACGGAGACACGGUCCAGACUACUACGGGAGGCAGCAGUAAGGAAUAUUGCGCAAUGGGAGAAAUACUGAAGCAGCAACGCCGCGGGAGGGACGAAGGGCUUUUGCUUGUAAACCUCUGUAGAGAGAGAAAAAAAUCCCAAUCUUUGGGACAUGAUGGUAGCUCAAAAGUAAGCCCCGGCUAACUACGUG
rnacentral:rRNA from 1 species